rnacentral:tRNA from 1 species
GAGGAUAGGGAUAAGUAUACUGUAGGGUGAACUCCUAAUGGAUACAAGUUAUGCCUUGGGAUGCGAUACAGA